GACGAACGCUGGCGGCGCGCCUAACACAUGCAGGUCGAACGAGCGAGAGAGAGCUUGCUUUCUCGAGCGAGUGGCGAACGGGUGAGUAACGCGUGAGGAACCUGCCUCAAAGAGGGGGACAACAGUUGGAAACGACUGCUAAUACCGCAUAAGCCCACGGUGCCGCAUGGCACCGAGGGAAAAGGAGCAAUCCGCUUUGAGAUGGCCUCGCGUCCGAUUAGCUAGUUGGUGAGGUAAUGGCCCACCAAGGCGACGAUCGGUAGCCGGACUGAGAGGUUGAACGGCCACAUUGGGACUGAGACACGGCCCAGACUCCUACGGGAGGCAGCAGUGGGGAAUAUUGCACAAUGGGGGAAACCCUGAUGCAGCGACGCCGCGUGGAGGAAGAAGGUCUUCGGAUUGUAAACUCCUGUUGUUGGGGAAGAUAAUGACGGUACCCAACAAGGAAGUGACGGCUAACUACGUA
rnacentral:rRNA from 1 species